GAUGAACGCUAGCUACAGGCUUAACACAUGCAAGUCGAGGGGAAACGAUAUUGGAAGCUUGCUUCCGAUAGGCGUCGACCGGCGCACGGGUGAGUAACGCGUAUCCAACCUGCCCAUCACUUGGGGAUAACCUUGCGAAAGUAAGACUAAUACCCAAUGACGUCUCUAGAAGACAUCUGAAGGAGAUUAAAGAUUUAUCGGUGAUGGAUGGGGAUGCGUCUGAUUAGCUUGUUGGCGGGGUAACGGCCCACCAAGGCGACGAUCAGUAGGGGUUCUGAGAGGAAGGUCCCCCACAUUGGAACUGAGGCACGGUCCAAACUCCUACGGGAGGCAGCAGUGAGGAAUAUUGGUCAAUGGGCGAGAGCCUGAACCAGCCAAGUAGCGUGCAGGAAGACGGCCCUAUGGGUUGUAAACUGCUUUUAUAAGGGAAUAAAGUGAGCCUCGUGAGGCUUUUUGCAUGUACCUUAUGAAUAAGGGCCGGCUAAUUCCGUGCCAGCCGCCGCAGUAA
rnacentral:rRNA from 1 species